GACGAACGCUGGCGGUGCGCCUAACACAUGCAAGUCGAACGGUGAACCGGGCUUCGGCCCGGGGAUCAGUGGCGAACGGGUGCGUAACACGUGGGCAACCUGCCCCCGACCCUGGGAUAA
rnacentral:rRNA from 1 species